rnacentral:rRNA from 1 species
ACGGGGUGCAGCAGGCGCGAAACCUUUACACUGCACGACAGUGCGAUAGGGGGAUCCCAAGUGCACAGGCAUAGCGCCUGUGCUUUUCGGUACCCUAAGGCGGUACCAGAAUAAGGGCUGGGCAAGACCGGUGCCAGCCGCCGCGGUAAUACCGGCAGCCCAAGUGAUGGCCGAUCUUAUUGGGCCUAAAGCGUCCGUAGCUGGCCACGCAAGUCCAUCGGGAAAUCCACCUGCCCAACAGGUGGGCGCCCGGUAGAAACUGCGUGGCUUGGGACCGGAAGGCGCGACGGGUACGUCCGGGGUAGGAGUGAAAUCCCGUAAUCCUGGACGGACCGCCGAUGGCGAAAGCACGUCGCGAGAACGGAUCCGACAGUGAGGGACGAAAGCCAGGGUCUCGAACCGGAUUAGAUACCCGGGUAGUCCUGGCCGUAAACAAUGCCUGCUAGGUGUGGCUCCCACUACGAGUGGGUGCUGUGCCGUAGGGAAGCCGCUAAGCAGGCCGCCUGGGAAGUACCU